CUGAGAAGCAGCAGGCACUGUUAGAGCAGCUGCUCUAAAGAAAUAAGAUGAAGAUAUAAAGCAAAGAUAAGCCCAGAGGCACAUUCUAGGGCUGAUGGGCACCUGCAGGAAUGGAAGACAACAGUGAUGGCAAGAGAAGAAACCAAAGAUGGGAAGACAAAUUAAAAAAGAAGUGGUUAAAAAAAGGGCUGAAGACAGUGCAGAGCAGAAGCAGCCGUGAAGCUGUGUGAGUGAUCUGAGCAAAAGUGAUGGAAAAGCAGAUGCAACAUGGUUGAGGCUGAGAGGAACCAAAUUCUGAUGGAGGCAGACAAAUGAAGAAUAAUUGCUCCCAGAGGCACAGAGAGAUGAAGAAUGGACUACCAUUGGAUAAAGUUUUGGAAAAACAUGGGUCUUGGCUUCUUGAAUACUCCAGCAAGUGGCACCCUGUCAUCUUUCCCUGCCAUCUGAAAGUAGAGAUUUCAGGCUGGACAUGGACAAAUUCACUGUGCUACUGUCUAAAACAUGAUUUUGUCCUAAGGAAAAUUACACUGGGCGAGAGAUCACAACAUAUGAUGACAUUUAUCUCCUGGAAUCUUCUAGAUGUAUUUAUAAAAUUUAAGGCUGAAGAACUAAUGCAAAAUAUCAGAUCUAAUUUAGAAAGUUCAAUGUCUAAAAUGCUAUUUUUACUGUUUCUCAGAUGUUCUGUAUCUCAAGUGCAUUCAGAGAGAAUGGUUUUUGCUAAUGCUAUCUCCUAACUGAAGUUACUAAUGUCAAUCCAAAUGAUCAUCAUUUUACAUUUAAACUAUUAAUCACAAAUAACAAAGCAGGACCUUCUGCUUGAUUUACUAGAUCAGCAACUCCAGACAUGUCCUUGCAAUAAAGUAUGAGCAGAAGAAGCUUGUCCUUGCAAACUGCAUUCAGACAUCUUGUUUUGUGUCAGAGUUGGUAAAAUAAGACAUAUGAGUAAAGUAUUUAUGCAACCUAUCCUCUAUUCUCUCCAGAUGAAGCAUACAGGUUCCUUUUCAUGUCUACUCUGGAAUAAAUGAACUUCUACCAAGUCCAUGUAACAUUAUUCCACAAGGUAUUGCUUUUUGAAGUUCUUGAGUUUCAUCCUGAGUUACGUCUACCCACAACCCCAAACAACUAUAUUUUAAAUCUGAAGCCGUAUUCUUCCAAAUUUGCACCAAGAGAAAACAGCAGAUAAAAUUCAUGAAUGUAUUUUAUGUCCCCGUAUUCUUUUGUU